UACGGGGGGGGCAAGCGUUGUUCGGAAUUGCUGGGCGUAAAGGGCUCGUAGGCGGCCAACUAAGUCGGACGUGAAAUCCCUCGGCUUAACCGGGGAACUGCAUCCGAUACUGGAAGGCUCGAGUUUGGGAGAGGGAUGCGGAAUUCCAGGUGUAGCGGUGAAAUGCGUAGAUAUCUGGAGGAACACCGGUGGCGAAGGCGGCAUCCUGGACCAACACUGACGCUGACGGAGCGAAAGCCAGGGGAGCAAAGCGGG
rnacentral:rRNA from 1 species